UUCCCAAUGCCCUUCUUGCAAGAUGACAGAACCAAUCUACAAAACUGCUGGAUUUGCUUUUGCGUUCUCAAAGAAUUCUACCUUGGUCUCGAAUUUUUUAGUUGCAAUAUUAAAUGUGACUCAAAAUGUGACGACGUUGGGUGA